CCUACGGGAGGCAGCAGUGGGGAAUAUUGCGCAAUGGGGAAACCCUGACGCAGCAACGCCGCGUGAGUGAGGAAGGACUUCGGUCUGUAAAGCUCUGUUAAUGUGGAAAAAUGGUAGUUGGUCUAAUAGGCCGAUUAUUUGAUGGUACACAUAGAGGAAGCACCGGCUAACUUCGUGCCAGCAGCCGCGGUAAUACGAAGGGUGCAAGCGUUGUUCGGAUUUAUUGGGCGUAAAGCGCGCGUAGGCGGACCUGUAAGUCAGAUGUGAAAUCUCGGGGCUCAACCUCGAAACUGCGUCUGAAACUGCAGGUCUAGAAUCUCGGAGGGGGAAGGGGAAUUUCGCAUGUAGGGGUAAAAUCCGUAGAUAUGCGAAGGAACACCAGAGGCGAAGGCGCCUUCCUGGACGAGUAUUGACGCUGAGGCGCGAAAGCGUGGGGAUCAAAACAGGAUUAGAUACCCUGGUAGUCCACGCUGUAAACUAUGAACACUAGGUAUUGGAGGAUUUGACCCCUUNAGUGCCGUAGCUAACGCGUUAAGUGUUCCGCUGGGAAGUACGGUCGCAAGAACAAAACUAACAAAUAGUAAGUUAGUACGGCGUGAGACGUGACCGAACGGACGACGACGAGGGGAGGUUAGGG
rnacentral:rRNA from 1 species